UUUCCCUUUUCUUCGGUCAAAGAAAUCCUAACAUCAAACACAUUCGCUUAGAUCUUUUGCUGAAAUUCUUCUUUGUUAAUGGAGGCGGCGCGAUCGAAAGUUCUUAGAGAUGUUCUAGAUAUUUGGAGACCUAAGGAUCAUGUCUGCCAAUUAAUGAUACAGCAGCACAGCGAGCCGUAGCAUCAUGCAAGUGCUGCCACAAGCCGGAGGAUAACCUCCGUGAACUAGAACGUUCUAAGCUACGUGAAGAUCUAAAGGUAAUAAACGAUGAUGUUGUCAAUUCUGAGGCUAAGCUCCAUACCCUGUUUGUGAAGUGGCUCGCGUAUAAUGAACACAGCCAUUUUGAUCUGGAAGACCCCAAAGCUUUUAGAGAGAGGUUUAGUAUUUUUAAGGGCACUUCUCGGUUCAUCAACCAGCAUAACAAAAGCGGCUCUCCCACCAAUUUGUGGAUUAACCCCUUUUACAGAUUUGACUCUUGAUGAGUUUGGAAGUAGUUCGUGGAAGACCUAUCGGAAGAAACCUAACCAGGUUAUAGCUGGUAUACCCGAGUACAUGGAUCAGAAAGCUAAUUAACUAACCAGGUCGUAGCUGCUGGUAUUGCUGUGGUUGGUCUUAAUAUGAGUGUGGGAAGUUUCUAGUUAUUUAUUUUGAUGUAUUCUGCUGUUGGACGAGUAGUAGUAGUUUAGUAAUAGCAGUAGUAGGUCUUGAAAUGGAACUCUUUGUUGAAACUUGAUUGCAUCUUCUCUGGCUGUAAAUUCUAGUAUUGGGUUUCAGACAUUUUUUCUAUAAAAUUUGUUGUGCAA